GGCUCCUUGGUUUUGCUACCUCUGCUCCUUGGAGGCUACACCAGAUUGCUGAGUUCAUGUCUGCCUUACACAAGACAGCAAUUCAAAUCUAUCCCUGUUUUAAGGUCCUGAUCAGUUCCUUUCUCUGAAGACCUUUUUGCUACCAAUUUGUAUGGAAGUGGUUCCUAAUUCCACCGCUCAUGAGGUGCUUCAGGAUUCGGCCACAAGAAAGCAAACGUCUGAACUUUCAGUGUAUACCUGUUAAUGAUACUGAACAACAACUUCACUGAGUAAUUCAGGCGUUGAAGCAAUAAAAUAGUCCUUCUGUUCACUGCUGAAUUUUUUCCCUUCUCCCACUCCCCACCCACUGCCUUAUGAGCAGUAUACGUUGGUGU
ensembl:lncRNA